rnacentral:lncRNA from 1 species
CGCGGGCCGCGGGGCUCGCUCGGGGCGGCGUCCUUCCGCGGCAGAGCCGUUUUGGCCGGCGCGUGUCGCGUGCUCGGCGGCCGAGGAAGGGCCAGCGAGUCCUUGUGUGUGUGUGUGUGUGUUUGCUCCUCUUCUCCCGGCACUUGGGCAGUAACCGAGCGGGACCCGGGUUAGCGGAGGUCCGGCUGCCCUCGGCCUGCUGCGCUCUACGAAAUUGUCUUCUGUUGUGGAUGGAGAAACUGACUUCAGAAAAUGGAGUGUUAAUGGAAAAGUCUGGGUCAGUUUUCAUCAGUCAAGCCUGCAUCUCCCUUCUAUAGAGACAGUGAGUAAAGUGGAGACUACAGGAGUGGUAAUCCAAAUGCUAUCCUGUCUCAAUUCUGUACCGGCUGUUCUGUUCACAAAAUAGUUUAGGAGCUUGUCCUUAUGCUUGA